rnacentral:rRNA from 1 species
AGAGUUUGAUCAUGGCUCAGAACGAACGCUGGCGGCGUGCCUAACACAUGCAAGUCGAACGUGAUCCGGAGCUUGCUCCGGUGAAAGUGGCGCACGGGUGAGUAACGCGUGGAUAAUCUGCCUGAUGCUCUGGGAUAACAUCUCGAAAGGGGUGCUAAUACCGGAUAAGCCCACGGGGUCUUCGGACCUUGCGGGAAAAGAGGGGGACCUUCGGGCCUCUUGACAUCGGAUGAGUCCGCGUCCCAUUAGCUAGUUGGUGGGGUAAAGG